AGAGAGAGACAUGCGCGCAUAUCAAUAAGCGGAGGAAAAGAAACUAACAAGGAUUCCCCUAGUAACGGCGAGUGGAAGCGGGAAGAGCUCAAAUUUGAAAUCUUAAAGGGUUUCCCUUUACGAAUUGUAGUUUAAAGAAGUGUUUUUCUGUUGAGGUUUUGGUAAAAGUUCUUUGGAAUAGGACAUCAUAGAGGGUGAGAAUCCCGUAUUUGACCUUUACUUUCAACUUUGUGAUACACUUUCAAAGAGUCGGAUUGUUUGGGAAUGCAGUCCAAAAUGGGUGGUAAAUUUCAUCUAAAGCUAAAUAUUGGCGAGAGACCGAUAGCGAACAAGUACCGUGAGGGAAAAGAUGAAAAGAACUUUGAAAAGAGGGUUAAACAGUACGUGAAAUUGUCAAAAGGGAAGCGUUUGACACCAGUGUUGUUUUUUCUGAAAAUCAAUUAAAGAACUGUUUAUGCUAAGUUGUUUAGACUUUAUCAGCUAACUGUUUAGUUUUUGAGCUUUUCUUUAAUGCACUUUUCAGUUAACAAGUCAACAUCAAUUUCUUUUGCUGUAAAAAAGCUUGAGGAAGGUGGCUUGAGAUUCGUCCUUAAGUGUUUAUAGCCUCUUGCCUAUGCAGUCGGAGAGAUUGAGGUCUGCAGCGUAGAUCCUUCGGGGCUAAAUGCAUUUGUGCUAAGUUAUAGCAUUUUAUAGACAACUUGUUUGACUAUGAUUUGUCUUGUAGCUUACUCGCUUAUGUUAUUUUACCUACGCUUAGGAUGUUGACGCAUGAGAUAUACGC
rnacentral:rRNA from 1 species